UACGCCUCGCCCAGGUCCGUGGUGGCGAUGCCGUCCGUGCGGGUCGGCAGGAAGAGGUCCCAGGGCAUCCGCUGCGACUACAUCGGCUCCGCCACCAACCUGGUAUGUAUAUAUAUAUAUAUAUGUGUCAAAUAUAUAUAACAGUUAGAACCGUAGUCGGACACGACGACUCGACGAGUAGUGAAGCUCGAUGACGACCGGCCGAUCACUGAUGGAUGGUAUAUGCAGAUCAUGGUGACGACGACGACGCUGAUGCUGUUCGCGGGGCGGUUCGGGCUGGCGCCGUCGGCGAACCGGAAGGCGACGGCGGGGCUGAAGCUGGAGGCGCGCGACUCCGGGCUGCAGACGGGCGACCCCGCCGGGUUCACCCUCGCCGACACGCUGGCAUGCGGCG
rnacentral:lncRNA from 1 species